GCUCUCAAACAAAACUCAUAACUUUCAUGGUAAUUGGCUCUCAAGCCCCAUCCACUAUUCUAUUCUUUUCUUACAAAACAACAGGUUCUUAGGUACAUAAGUAGAGGCAAAAAUUAAAUAAGACUAUAGUGGAUAUCAAACUCAAAAAUAAAAUGAAGAUCAAGUUGAGGUAAAGAUAACUCAAGACAUGGGCCAUCAAGACAGUCAGCCUCAAAAGAUUAAUAUCACCAGAAAAGCAAAGAUCAUUAGAGGACCAACC
rnacentral:lncRNA from 1 species